UGGGGAAUAUUGCACAAUGGAGGGAACUCUGAUGCAGCGACGCCGCGUGAACGAAGAAGGCUUUCGAGUCGUAAAGUUCUUUUAUAUGGGAAGAUAAUGACGGUACCAUAAGAAAAAGCCCCGGCUAACUACGUGCCAGCAGCCGCGGUAAUACGUAGGGGGCUAGCGUUGUCCGGAAUCACUGGGCGUAAAGGGUUCGCAGGCGGAAAUGCAAGUCAGGUGUAAAAGGCAGUAGCUUAACUACUGUAAGCAUUUGAAACUGCAUAUCUUGAGAAGAGUAGAGGUAAGUGGAAUUUUUAGUGUAGCGGUGAAAUGCGUAGAUAUUAAAAAGAAUACCGGUGGCGAAGGCGGCUUACUGGGCUCAUUCUGACGCUGAGGAACGAAAGCGUGGGUAGUAAACAGG
rnacentral:rRNA from 1 species